CUUAAAUCAUUACAAAUUUUUUUUCACAUCACAGUCAUAUUUUAUUUCCUUUUUUUGAGCUCUUACAGGAAAUCUGGCAAGGAUUAUGAUGCAGGAUCAGCAGAAAAAAAAACCCCUACUUAGUUGCAGAUCUACUACUCUAAUUUUGCCUUUUACAAAGACUGGGAAUCCAAAGCUGUAAGGAGAACAGGAAGACUGCCUGUGUCAAGAUCCCUAACCAUUUUAUGUGCUCACCCAAUGAAUUGUACUGGAGAGCCUAAAGCUGCCCACUGAAUUCCUGCUGCACCUGCAUCAUUCCCACAGAAGGAGGAUCACUGUGUGGGAUUUGAGAUCUGUACAGAUACCCUGUUGUGGGCAUUGCAUGACAACAUUUGCUUCCUGGUUUACUAUGCCAAGCACCAGGAGCCUCAGCAGAGUCACACCAAACUGAAGGAAUUUUCAAUUUUCCUCUAUGGAUCACAGGACUGCCAAGUAUUACUAAAUACACUGGUAAAAGUACAAAAAUGUGGAAGAUUUCCUACAGCUAUGAUCUUCUGAACCACUUCUUGGGUAUAAUCAGCAAACUUUUUCUUCCUUCAAAUGAUAAGAGGACCACUGGUUUUAAGCUCACUGCAGUGACUUGGAAAAUUUUGUGGACUGAUAGAAUUAUUGCAAGAUAAAUGCAGAAAGUAAACAGAGCCUGUAAGGAGCUCAGAACAGACAUAGCUAUUCGGCAAUUAGGGUCUGUUUGCUUUUGUAAUCUGUGCAAUUAUUGUGAUUGAGGACACAUCUGAUAAAACAUUUCCCUUCCUACUUACAGUGUGCUACAGAUACACUCAAGCAGACAAAGGUACUUCAUUAUUGUAAUGGAAUUUCCAAGCAGAAAACCCAAACAUUUUGCUAGAUCAGGGCUCCAUUAAGUCUUGUUUUAUUUAUAAGUGGACAAUUGCAUGUAUCAGCUAUUCCUUUGUUCACUGAAACAAUCUUUAGGCCUGCAUCAGAGGAUGUCAGCUUUAGUUCCUUCCUAUGAAUUCUGAGAAGUGUGCAUGUAGUUACCUCAUGCUGUGAUUUACUUUACUUCAGUAUCUUUUUGCCCUUCACUUAAGUGAUCCUUUCUUUUUACAGCACUUAUUCAUGUUUAUUCCUCAUAAACUGAUGGAAAUUUCUUUAUAUAAGCAUUAUGUAACUCUAACAGCCUUCUGUCAUUCCCAUAUUUUCCACUAUAAAGUAUGAGUAACCACCCUGAAUUGACACAGUUGUCAGAGAAGACAGGGAAGAACCAGUAAACAAUUAAGAUCAUCAAGUGGACUUUGAAUUCUGUGUUUAUGACAUCCUUCAGUCAGAAGAGCAAAACAGGCACUGAAGUCCUAAGGCCUCACAAUAGGGUUCAUGCCGAAUCUGUGUUCUGUCCCCAUCCUUGCAUUAUUUGCACAUUACAAAUCUCCUCAGCAGGCGUUACCAGAAUGUCAUUUCUGACAGCCACAAUUCCUUGUCCUUUGGGAUUGUGGCAUUGUGUUGGGGUUUUUUAUGUAUUUUUGGUUUUUCUCUUCCCAAGAAAAGAAAAAACAAAAAUAUCAGUCUAGAUAACAGAAACAACAAAUGGUAUUGCUGUGCUCUGAAAAGUUUGGAACAUGUCAGAAAAGUUUGGAACAUGUUAGAAACGGGCAAAGUUUAUGUUCAAUAAAAAAGGAAGGGGGCUGUUAUUUCCACCAGAACUAUUAGCCUCCCCCAAAGAAGAAAGAAAGUGAAUAGAAACAGGACGAUCAUUAAAAAAAUUAUUGUUUCCAACUGAGGGCUUGUCCAAAUUACAGUUCAUAACUUGCCUCCUGCCGUGAUAUUGGACCAAACUCAACAACUAAGAAAAUAUAUUUGCAGUGGAAGCAAAAAUUAAUAUUAAGAUUAUUGUUUCUUUACAAGCUAUAGACAAAGGGCUACAGAAGCCUAUGAACAGAAAGGGGAUUAAUGUAAGAAAUGGAAUUAUCAGACUCCUAGACUGUUAAUUUGGCAAUUAUUAACAGCUUCAUCUAUGUUCAUAAAAACAUCCUGUGGAAGCAGAUUUUUAUUCCGCUCAGAAACAGUAAUGCUUCAGACUGAAGUUUAAGCAUAUUUAGUUCAUAUAUUUCUAAACCAAAUUAAUUACAUCUGUUUUAAUCCACAACCAAGAUUAUAAUAUUUCCUACCACUUGAUUUAAGACAGAGGAACUUUUUUCCUCAAUAUUUAUUGAGUCAGAGCAAUGAUCUAAGGUAGGGUGAACAUUAAAAAGUAAGAUGCUUAUGGCUUAUCACUUUUAAUAUAGUUGAAAUCAUCUUAAUAUUGUAAAAGUUAUAAUAAAUAUAAUAAUAAAUAAUACUAUAUUUAGUAUUUAUUGUCACAGGGAUCAUUGCUAGCAACAGGUGCUUUUUAUCUCUCGGCAAGGCAUCUGAGGGGCUGCAGGUGUCUCUGAAUACAGUAUGGGAGGAAAUACUAACUUUUCCAUAGCAAUCACUGUCCAUUUCCAUCCUCAGUGUGCUUUCCACAGCAAGGUGCUUGUUUUAUACAAAGCUCCUUCAGCUCACUCUGCCUCAGUUCUGAGUUCUUCAGUACUUGUUAGUGGCAUGUCGCAGCAGCACUCAGUGGUAUUACCUAUAGUUUGUAGGUUCAGCACUUGUUAAUCAAACCUUGUCCACAUCCUCUCUACAAAGAAAAGGAAAAGGAAAUGGACAAGGAGUUUUGUUCUUCCUUUGAGAGUGUCUCCACCUGUGUUGCUGUAAUUGUCAAGAGAACAACUGUCAGUCACCAGUAAGCUGCAUCACUUUAAUUAACCCUUUUAAUAGAGCUGUAUCUGCUUCAUUUUUUUGGCUACCUCUGUGCUCAUGCAAGAAUUGGUGGAUGUGGUACACACCAAAUGCUUCCAGACAACCUUACAGGAUUUUAUCAGUGCUGGGAACAAACCCCAA